GACGAACGCUGGCGGCGUGCCUAAUACAUGCAAGUAGAACGCACAGUUUAUACCGUAGCUUGCUACACCAUAGACUGUGAGUUGCGAACGGGUGAGUAACGCGUAGGUAACCUGCCUGGUAGCGGGGGAUAACUAUUGGAAACGAUAGCUAAUACCGCAUAAUAUUGAUUAUUGCAUGAUAUUUGAUUGAACGAUGCUAUUGCAUCACUACCAGAUGGACCUGCGUUGUAUUAGCUAGUAGGUGAGGUAACGGCUCACCUAGGCGACGAUACAUAGCCGACCUGAGAGGGUGAUCGGCCACACUGGGACUGAGACACGGCCCAGACUCCUACGGGAGGCAGCAGUAGGGAAUCUUCGGCAAUGGACGAAAGUCUGACCGAGCAACGCCGCGUGAGUGAAGAAGGUUUUCGGAUCGUAAAGCUCUGUUGUAAGAGAAGAACGGGUGUGAGAGUGGAAAGUUCACACUGUGACGUUAUCUUAACAGAAAGGGACGGCUAACUACGUG
rnacentral:rRNA from 1 species